CCUACGGGAGGCAGCAGUGGGGAAUUUUGGACAAUGGGGGAAACCCUGAUCCAGCAAUGCCGCGUGAGUGAAGAAGGCCUUCGGGUUGUAAAGCUCUUUUGUCAGGGAAGAAACACCGGCUCUAACACAGUCCGGGAAUGACGGUACCUGAAGAAUAAGCACCGGCUAACUACGUGCCAGCAGCCGCGGUAAUACGUAGGGUGCGAGCGUUAAUCGGAAUUACUGGGCGUAAAGCGUGCGCAGGCGGUUAUACAAGACAGGCGUGAAAUCCCCGGGCUUAACCUGGGAAUGGCGCCUGUGACUGUAUAGCUAGAGUGUGUCAGAGGGGGGUAGAAUUCCACGUGUAGCAGUGAAAUGCGUAGAUAUGUGGAGGAAUACCAAUGGCGAAGGCAGCCCCCUGGGAUAACACUGACGCUCAUGCACGAAAGCGUGGGGAGCAAACAGGAUUAGAUACCCUGGUAG
rnacentral:rRNA from 1 species